rnacentral:rRNA from 1 species
GAUGAACGCUGGCGGCGUGCUUAACACAUGCAAGUCGAACGGAAAGGCUCCUGCUUGCAGGGGUACUCGAGUGGCGAACGGGUGAGUAACACGUGGGUGAUCUGCCCUGCACUUCGGGAUAAGCCUGGGAAACUGGGUCUAAUACCGGAUAGGACGAUGGUUUGGAUGCCAUUGUGGAAAGUUUUUCGGUGUGGGAUGAGCUCGCGGCCUAUCAGCUUGUUGGUGGGGUAAUGGCCUACCAAGGCGUCGACGGGUAGCCGGCCUGAGAGGGUGUACGGCCACAUUGGGACUGAGAUACGGUCCAGACUCCUACGGGAGGCAGCAGUGGGGAAUAUUGCACAAUGGGCGCAAGCCUGAUGCAGCGACGCCGCGUGGGGGAUGACGGCCUUCGGGUUGUAAACUCCUUUCGCUAGGGACGAAGCGCAAGUGACGGUACCUGGAGAAGAAGCACCGGCUAACUACGU